CAAGACUGUAGGAAAAAAGUUACUGAGCUCCUGCGACUAACCCCUUUUCAGUAGCCCUUCCCACGCCAUCUCCCGAGCUUUCUUUCUAGUCUCUCGGUGCUGCCCCUCCCUCACCUCUCUCCACACGGCUUUGGAUUGAACAGGCCAAGCCUCUCCCCCAAACCCACGAAGAGGCUGAGAAGUCCCAUGAUCUGCCACUUGCAAGCUGGAGAACUGGGAAAGCUGGCGUUGUAAUUCAGUCUAUGUCUGAAGGCCCAAGAACCAGUGGAACCAAUGGCUGAAGGCCUGAGAAGGGAGGGGGUGGUGUGCUGGAGGAAGUCCCAGAGUCUGAAGGUCUAAGAACCGGAAGCUCUGACGUCUGAGGACAAGAGAAGAUGGAUGCCUCAGCUCAAGAAGAAAGAGAGAAUUCAUCCUUCCCCUUUUUGUUCACCUGGGCUCUCAAAGGAUGGGAUGAUGCCUGCCCGUAUUAGUAAAGGUGGAUCUUCUUUACUCAGUCUGCUGAUUCAAAUGCUACUCUUUUCUGGAAACAUUAUCACAGACACACCAAGAAUUAAUGUCUUACCGGCUGUCUGUGUGCCCUUUAGCCCAACCAAGUUGACACAUAUAAUUAAUCAUCACACCCGUGUUCUGGCUUUUACCUAUGUUUUUAGUGUUCUAAGCACAUUGGCCUUUUGCUGUUCCUCAAAUAAAUGAAGCAUAUUCUAUA